AGAAUCAACGCUGGCGGCGUGCCUAACACAUGCAAGUCGAACGAGAAAGUGGAGCAAUCCACAAGUAAAGUGGCGCACGGGUGAGUAACACGUGACUAACCUACCCUUGAGUGGGGGAUAACCUAGGGAAACCUGGGCUAAUACCGCAUAAUACCUACGGGUCAAAGGAGCAAUUCGCUUAAGGAGGGGGUCGCGGCCGAUUAGUUGGUUGGCGGGGUAAUGGCCCACCAAGACGAUGAUCGGUAUCC
rnacentral:rRNA from 1 species